rnacentral:rRNA from 1 species
UUGGAGGGCAAGUCUGGUGCCAGCAGCCGCGGUAAUUCCAGCUCCAAUAGCGUAUAUUAAAGUUGUUGCAGUUAAAAAGCUCGUAGUUGAAUUUCGGGAUCAAUAUUUCGGUCAUGCCGUUGGUAUGCACUGUUAUCAUUGAUUUCUCACCUUCUAAAGAGCCGUAAUGCCAUUAAUUUGGUGUUACGGGGAAUUAGGACUGUUACCUUGAAAAAAUUAGAGUGUUUAAAGCAGGCUCACGCUUGAAUACAUUAGCAUGGAAUAAUGAAAUAGGACAUCCGAUUCUAUUUUGUUGGUUUCUAGGAUCGAUGUAAUGAUUAAUAGGGAUAGUUGGGGGCAUUAGUAUUCAAUUGUCAGAGGUGAAAUUCUUGGAUUUAUUGAAGACUAACUACUGCGAAAGCAUUUGCCAAGGAUGUUUUCAUUAAUCAAGAACGAAAGUUAGGGGAUCGAAGACGAUCAGAUACCGUCGUAGUCUUAACCAUAAACUAUGCCGACUAGGGAUCGGAUGAUGUUAAUUUUUUAAUGACUCAUUCGGCGCCUUACGGGAAAC